rnacentral:rRNA from 1 species
UAUUGGGCAAUGGGCGCAAGCCUGACCCAGCAACGCCGCGUGAAGGAAGAAGGCUUUCGGGUNGUAAACUUCUUUUGUCGGGGACNNCCNNNANGACGGUACCCGACGAAUAAGCCACGGCUAACUACGUNNNCNCNCCCUCGGUAAUACGUAGGUGGCAAGCGUUAUCCGGAUUUACUGGGUGUAAAGGGCGUGUAGGCGGGAUUGCAAGUCAGGUGUGAAAACUGGGGGCUCAACCUCCAGCCUGCAUUUGAAACUGUAGUUCUUGAGUGCUGGAGAGGCAAUCGGAAUUCCGUGUGUAGCAGUGAAAUGCGUAGAUAUACGGAGGAACACCAGUGGCGAAGGCGGAUUGCUGGACAGUAACUGACGCUGAGGCACGAAAGCGUGGGGAGCGAACAGG